rnacentral:rRNA from 1 species
UGUCCCAUAAAUCGGGACUUGUAUGAAUGGCUAAACGAGGUCUUAACUGUCUCUUACAGGAAAUCGGUGAAAUUGAUCUCCCUGUGCAAAAGCAGGGAUAAACCCAUAAGACGAGAAGACCCUGUGGAACUUUAAAAACAGCGGCCACCCCAAAAUACCUUUUCCCCCACCUCGGGCUUACUAACUCACGGGUGACUGGCUCGCAUUUUUUCGGUUGGGGCGACCUUGGAGCAAAACAAAACCUCCAAACACUAGACCACACAUCUAGACCAAGAGCUACGACUCGACGUGCAAAUAGCACCCAGACCCAAUAAAAUUGAUCAAUGGACCAAGCUACCCCAGGGAUAACAGCGCAAUCUCCUCCAAGAGCCCAUAUCGACGGGGAGGUUUACGACCUCGAUGUUGGAUCAGGACAUCCUAGUGGUGCAGCCGCUACUAAGGGUUCGUUUGUUCAACGAUUAACAGU